rnacentral:rRNA from 1 species
GAUGAACGCUGGCGGCGUGCCUAAUACAUGCAAGUCGAGCGAACUGAUUAGAAGCUUGCUUCUAUGACGUUAGCGGCGGACGGGUGAGUAACACGUGGGCAACCUGCCUGUAAGACUGGGAUAACUUCGGGAAACCGAAGCUAAUACCGGAUAGGAUCUUCUCCUUCAUGGGAGAUGAUUGAAAGAUGGUUUCGGCUAUCACUUACAGAUGGUCCCGCGGUGCAUUAGCUAGUUGGUGAGGUAACGGCUCACCAAGGCAACGAUGCAUAGCCGACCUGAGGGAGUGAUCGGCCACACUGGGACAGAGAAACGACCCAGACUCCUGCGGGAGGCAGCAGUAGAGAAUCAUCAACAGUGGACGGAAGUCUGACGGAGCAACGCCGCGUGAGUGAUGAAGGAUUUCGGGUCGUAAAACUCUGUUGUUAGGGAAGAACAAGUACAAGAGUAACUGGUUGUACCUUGACGGUACCUAACCAGAAAGCCACGGCUAACUACGUGCCAGCCGCCGCCGUAA